CACAUCAAGCAAAGAAUCAAAGAAACUCAAGAUAGACAAAAGUCUUACGCCGAUAAACGCCGAUUGGAAUUAGAAUUUAAUGUUGGGGAUCGAGUUUUCCUCAAAGUCUCUCCCUCAAAGGGAGUUAUACGUUUCGGAAAGAGGGGCAAGUUACGACCCCGUUAUAUAGGACCUUUUGAGAUCCUAGAUAAGUUAGGCCUUUGUAGCCUAUAAGUUGGCUCUGCCACCAAGCAUUGUGGAUGUAUACAAUACGUAUAGCACCUCGCAAUUAAGAAAGUAUGUGAUUAAGCAAGAUAAAGUAGUCCUAGCCAGGACCUAAGUUGUGAUGAGAAAUCAGUCCAGAUACUUGAUCGCAAGAUUCAAAUUUUACGAGGCAAUAAUAUUGUUCUCGUCAUGUAGUGGAACCAUCACAGGAUGGAAAAGGCCACAAAAGAGAUGAAUGAAACGAAUGACUAGUAUCACAAGAUAGAAUACCAGAUAUGCAAUUCCGAGGACGGAAUUUUUAUAAGGAGGGAGGAAUGUAAUACCCCGUUUUCCUGAGUUAAAUUUAGAAUUUAUUUUGAACUUAAGAUUUAAGAUGAUUCACGCCGGAUAUAAAGAAAAUGAAUUUAUUUUAAUUCCAACAAACGAUUUGCAAAAUCCUCUUUGUAAAUGUUAGUCAUUUAAAUUCUUAUGCAUUUCAUAUUUAUUUAAAUUGAAUAUUAAGCAUUUCACAUCUACACGAGCUAUUUAUUUAAGCAAACACUGAACGAUUAUUACAGUUUUCAUAAUACAACCCGGAAGACCUUAUUUUAUAUUACUCUCCCACCUACUUCCUUCCACCUACUCCCUCUCACACCCACCUACUCCCUUCUUUUUGCAAACUUAAUAUAGCUGGUUGAUCCGAGCUUCCAUUUUCUAUCCUCCACAAUCAUCCCACACAUUUCAUCUCCCUCAUCAAUUUUCAGCACAUCAGCUACUGAACAAAUUCAGAAGAUUUGCAGAAUGAUAACCCAACAGAUUUCUUUUGAAGGUUGAGCAGUUGAUGGAAUGGAAUGAUGUUGAGCGGGUGUUCCUUUGACAUUUCAAGAAAUGUAACCUUGAGUAUACAUCUUCAUAUGUAUAUCUCACACGUUUUCCGCUGCAAAACACUUUGAUUAGGAUAACUUCAUGUUAUGAAGUUGGGACACGUGUUAUUGGGUAACCCACCUUAAUCAGUUCUCCUUUAUGUGUAUGUGUUAUAAGUAUCCAAAUGAUCAUAUAUGAUCCUAGCUUUUUAUUUAUGAGUGACAUUUCCAUAUACUUUAAUGUUAAGUAAUUGUCCAUUUCCA